ACAAAAUCAGCUCGCGUAAUCGUUUACCAUUCUGUUAUAAACGAUUACAACAACUUUUUCUGCAUAACUUCUUCAUAGACAUGAUUUGGGGGCUUGCACUCAACAUCAUACCUUCCUUGCCUACCCAAACAUGAACAAGCACACUUAGAACACCUCCAAAGCACUAAAUGACACCAAUACAACUCCACCUGUGGUCUACAUUGAAAAAUUAAUACCAU
rnacentral:lncRNA from 1 species